rnacentral:rRNA from 1 species
UACGAAGGGGGCUAGCGUUGCUCGGAAUCACUGGGCGUAAAGGGAGCGUAGGCGGAUAGUUUAGUCAGAGGUGAAAGCCCAGGGCUCAACCUUGGAAUUGCCUUUGAUACUGGCUAUCUUGAGUAUGGAAGAGGUAUGUGGAACUCCGAGUGUAGAGGUGAAAUUCGUAGAUAUUCGGAAGAACACCAGUGGCGAAGGCGACAUACUGGUCCAUUACUGACGCUGAGGCUCGAAAGCGUGGGGAGCAAACAGG